rnacentral:rRNA from 1 species
UGGACAGUAUAGAAGAGAGAAUGUUGGCAUGAGUAGCGUAAGGCGGGUGAGAAUCCUGCCCGCCGAAAAUCUAAGGUUUCCUGAGGAAGGUUCGUCCACUCAGGGUUAGUCGGGGCCUAAGCCGAGAGCGAACGCUGUAGGCGAUGGACAACUGGUAGAUAUUCCAGUACCACCGAAUGUCGUUAUAAGUGAAGUGGGGACACAGAAGGAUAGGUUGAGCGCACCGUUGGUAGAGUGCGUCCAAGCGUUAAGGGAGCUGAAGCAGGCAAAUCCGCAUCAGCAAUUCUGAGGCGUUACGGGGAGUCUAAAAAGACGGAAGCAACUGAUUUCAUACUGUCAAGAAAAGCCGCUAGCAAGACACUAGGUGCCCGUACCGCAAACCGACACAGGUAGAUGAGGAGAGAAUCCUAAGGCGAGCGAGAGAACUAUUGUUAAGGAACUCGGCAAAAUUACCCCGUAACUUCGGGAGAAGGGGUGCCUGCGAAGAGCAGGCCGCAGUGAAUAGGCCCAGGCGACUGUUUACCAAAAACACAGGUCUCUGCUAAAGCGAAAGCUGAAGUAUAGGGGCUGACGCCUGCCCGGUGCUGGAAGGUUAAGGGGACGUGUCAUCGCAAGAGAAGCACUGAACUUAAGCCCCAGUAAACGGCGGCCGUAACUAUAACGGUCCUAAGGUAGCGAAAUUCCUUGUCAGGUAAGUUCUGACCCGCACGAAAGGCGUAACGAUCUGGGCACUGUCUCAACAAUAGACUCGGUGAAAUUGUAGUACCGGUAAAGAUGCCGGUUACCCGCAGCAGGACGGAAAGACCCCAUGGAGCUUUACUGUAGCUUGAUAUUGAGUUUUGGCAUUGCAUGUACAGGAUAGGUGGGAGACAGAGAAGUUAGGACGCCAGUUUUAGCUGAGUCACCGUUGGGAUACCACCCUUGUAAUGUUGAAAUUCUAACCGUGCGCCGUAAUCCGGUGUCGGGACAGUGUCUGGUGGGCAGUUUGACUGGGGCGGUCGCCUCCUAAAGAGUAACGGAGGCGCCCAAAGGUUCCCUCAGAUUGGUUGGAAAUCAAUCGCAGAGUGUAAAGGUAUAAGGGAGCUUGACUGCGAGAGCUACAACUCGAGCA